GUCACCGGCUUCCUGUCCCCAGUGAGGCUACUAGAGAGAGAGUGGCCCUCGGGUAAAUUCAGUGGGAAAGUUGCUGAGUGUACACCUUUGUCAUGGACCGGUGUGGGGGUGACUGGGCCCUCCUGUCAACACCUCGCGACUUGAUACGACCAUGGCUGGAGUCGUGGCAGUACUGGUGGCCCUGGCCCUGGCGUUAGGGGCCUAGGCUGAGAAGGCCCCAGUUGGGUUCGGAGGCGGCUUUGGAGGCGGUGGCUACGGUGGUGGAGGCUUUGGAGGCGGUGGCUACGGUGGUGGAGGCUUUGGAGGCGGUGGCUACGGUGGUGGAGGCUUUGGAGGUGGCGGCUUCGGUGGUGGAGGCUUUGGAGGUGGCGGCUUCGGUGGUGGUGGUGGAUUUGGCGGUGGUGGCGGAGGCUACGGCGGUGGCGGCUGUAUACCACAAGUGCACUACAAGACCCACUACAGGAACCAGCUUAACGAGGUGUGUGUUACAUCAAGUGUUGAUAAAUGAUGAUGCAACACUGAGUAAGAUCACUGGCAGCACCUGAGACACACCUGCUGGAGUCUCCCGUACCUAAGACACACCUGCUGGAGUCUCCCGUACCUAAGACACACCUGCUGGAGUCUCCCGUACCUAAGACACACCUGCUGGAGUCUCCCGUGUUGUGAAGAACGUCGACACGUCUACAGCUGUUGGUCGGUGGCAAACCCUUCGGCCGGCAGGUGUCCAUGCUUGCAGUCUGCAUGUGUGAAGCCUAUGGUAUGUGAAGAGUACGACGACCAGAAAGGCUCUUUCCAGUGGCCACACAUUGCGAAAAGGACGAAGACUCGAGUUGAAUCAUCGCUGUUUCAACGUUGCUGGAACACGUGUUGCCCCGAGGAUAGUGAAGAUACCUGGUUGAUGGGGUUCUGGGAGUUCUUCUACUCCCCCAAGCCCAGCCCGAAGCCAGGCUUGACUUGAGAGCUUGGUCCAGCAGGCUGUUGCUUGGAGCGGCCCGCAGGGCCACAUA